rnacentral:rRNA from 1 species
AUGGGCAUCCGCACGGCCACCCUGCUCCUCGCCGGCCUCGCGUGGUGUGGCGUGCUCGUCGCCGCCGCCGGCGUGUUCAACGUCAAGGACUACGGUGCUCGAGGCGACGGGACCACGGACGACACCAAGGCGUUCAUGGACGCAUGGACGGCGGCGUGCGGCGCCAGAGGCUGGUCGGCGACGCUGCUCGUGCCGGCGGCCAAAUCCUUCCUCGUCGGCCCCACCAGGUUCAGCGGGCCCUGCGCCUCCAGCAGAAUUAUCGUCCAGGUCAUGGGCACGAUUACGGCGCCGCCGGCGCGCCCAUGGAGCGAGAAGAACUAUUGGCUGAUGUUCUACCAGGUCCACGGGCUCACGGUUACCGGCGGCAGCACCGGCUUGCUCGACGGCAGAGGCGGGACGUGGUGGGGCGAUAAAUGCAAACGCCAUGCUGACUGUAUCUCUAAGGCGCCGACGGCCUUGGUGGUCAUGAACUGCGCCGACGUGGAGCUGAGCCAAUUCAGCAGCAAGAACAGCCCGCAGAUGCACAUCGCCGUCAGCCAGAGCAGCAAGGUCCACCUGACGCAGCUGACCAUCACCGCGCCCUGGAACAGCCCCAACACCGACGGCGUGCACAUCGACCGGAGCCAAGACGUCCGCGUCACCAGAUCGACCAUCGGCACCGGCGACGACUGCAUCUCCAUUGGCCCCGGGAGCUAAUUCGUCACCGUGGACGGAAUCGUCUGCGGCCCCGGCCAUGGUGUAAGUGUGGGGAGCCUUGGCAGGAAGGGAGCAACCGAAUCCGUGGAGUACAUCGACGUAAAAAACGUCCAGUUCAUCAAUACCGCGAAUGGAGCAAGGAUCAAGACGUGGCAGGGUGGGAAAGGUUACGCGAGAUCCAUCUCCUUCACCGACAUAAACUUCACCAACGUGGACCAUCCUGUGGUCAUCAACCAGUUCUACGUAGACCGCCGCGAUGUCCCAAACAUGGUAGGGGCGGUGGCGCUGAGCAACAUAACGUACACGAACCUGAAGGGGACUUCGAGGUACAAGACGGCCGUCGAGUUCGACUGCAGCAAGAGCGGCAGCUGCACGAACAUCCACGUCAACUCCGUGGCGAUCACAGCUGCGUACGGCGGAGAAACCGUGGCCCGCUGCCAGAACGCGCAAGGGGACACCUCCGGAUAUGUCUACCCGAAGAUCCCUUGCCUUAGAUAA